UACGAAGGGGGGCUAGCGUUGCUCGGAAUCACUGGGCGUAAAGCGCACGUAGGCGGACUCUUAAGUCGGUGGUGAAAUCCUGGAGCUCAACUCCAGAACUGCCUUUGAUACUGGCGAUCUUGAGUCCGGGAGAGGUGAGUGGAACUGCGAGUGUAGAGGUGAAAAUUCGUAGAUAUUCGCAAGAACACCAGUGGCGAAGGCGGCUCACUGGCCCGGUACUGACGCUGAGGUGCGAAAGCGUGGGGAGCAAACAGG
rnacentral:rRNA from 1 species